GCAGUUGCUUUUAUACGAGUACUAAGGUAAAGCAAGACUGUAGUUUGCUCCUUGAGUACUAAUGGAAAAUGGUCUUGGAGCUGGAGGCCUUGGAGGUCCAGGGCUGGUGGUGAACCCUGGCCUGGGUACUGAUGCCAAGUCGAGAAAGUAUGGGGCUGGUGGAGUUCUUGGAGCUGCCGGAUCCUUGCCUUACGGUGGCCAGCCUGUGGUCUCAGCUGGAGUUGGCCAUCAGGGCAAGACUGGUACUUAUGGUGGAACUACAUACAGAGGAAUACCAACCCUUGGGCCAGACACUGCUUUGGGUGGUACAGGUGGAGCAAUGGAGCCUUUAGCAGGCGGAGCUGUAGGCCAGAUUCCUUACAGCGCACCAGUCAUUGCAGCUGGGCUUGAGGUUGAUGCUGAUUAUGCUUUUGGUGCUGAGCAACUCGGUCUGGGUGCUGAUGCUACAAAGACAGCCGCCAAAUAUGGCACAGGAUAUGCGGCUGCACUAAGUACUGCUGGUCAGGGGCCCUAUGGUGGACAGAACGAUGGAAGGAAGCUUAGUGGCAUUUAUGGGAAUGGGUACAAAGGUAGAUGA
ensembl:lncRNA